UACCUACGGGCGCAGCAGUGAGGAAUAUUUGUCAAUGGGCGGGAGCCUGAACCAGCCAAGCCGCGUGAAGGAAGAAGGCGCCAAGCGUCGUAAACUUCUUUUGUCGGGGAACAAAGGGCGCCACGUGUGGCGUUGUGAGUGUACCCGAAGAAAAAGCAUCGGCUAACUCCGUGCCAGCAGCCGCGGUAAUACGUAUGGGGCAAGCGUUAUCCGGAUUUACUGGGUGUAAAGGGAGCGUAGGCGGCCUGGCAAGCCUGAUGUGAAAUACCGGGGCCCAACCCCGGGGCUGCAUUGGGAACUGCCAG
rnacentral:rRNA from 1 species